ensembl:snoRNA SNORA65 small nucleolar RNA SNORA65
CCCGCCACUUUACCAGUCUGUCCGUGACUGAGUACAGUCCAGUGGUGGCUAAGACUGACCCAGCUCUAGGAAACAGGGCCGCCCAGUCAGUGGGCCUCUCUGUGCCGAAAGGCCUGGAACAAAU